rnacentral:rRNA from 1 species
UACGAAGGGGGCUAGCGUUGCUCGGAAUCACUGGGCGUAAAGGGUGCGUAGGCGGGUCUUUUAAGUCAGGGGUGAAAUCCUGGAGCUCAACUCCAGAACUGCCUUUGAUACUGAGGAUCUUGAGUUCGGGAGAGGUGAGUGGAACUGCGAGUGUAGAGGUGAAAUUCGUAGAUAUUCGCAAGAACACCAGUGGCGAAGGCGGACUCACUGGCCCCGAUACUGACGCUGAGGCACGAA